rnacentral:rRNA from 1 species
AACGAACGCUGGCGGCAGGCUUAACACAUGCAAGUCGAACGCCCCGCAAGGGGAGUGGCAGACGGGUGAGUAACGCGUGGGAACGUGCCCUUCGCUUCGGAAUAGUCCCGGGAAACUGGGUUUAAUACCGGAUACGCCGUAUUGGGAAAGAUUUAUCGGCGAAGGAUCGGCCCGCGUUAGAUUAGGUAGUUGGCGGUGUAAUGGACCACCAAGCCUACGAUCUAUAGCUGGUCUGAGAGGAUGAUCAGCCACACUGGGACUGAGACACGGCCCAGACGCCUACGGGAGGCAGCAGUGGGGAAUCUUGGACAAUAGGCGAAAGCCUGAUCCAGCCAUGCCGCGUGAGUGAAGAAGGCCUUAGGGUUGUAAAACUCUUUCGCCAGAGAAGAUAAUGACGGUAUCCGGAGAAGAAGCCCCGGCUAACUUCGUGCCAGCCGCCGCAGUAAUAC